rnacentral:rRNA from 1 species
GACAGAGGGUGCAAGCGUUGUUCGGAAUUAUUGGGCGUAAAGGGCGCGUAGGCGGCCUCGUAAGUCAUCUGUGAAAUCCCAGGGCUUAACCCUGGAAGUGCAGCUGAUACUGCUUGGCUUGAGUCUCGGAGAGGGUGGUGGAAUUCCCAGUGUAGAGGUGAAAUUCGUAGAUAUUCGCAAGAACACCAGUGGCGAAGGCGGCUCACUGGCCCGAUACUGACGCUGAGGUGCGAAAGCGUGGGGAGCAAACAGG